GAUGAACGCUAGCGGCAGGCCUAAUACAUGCAAGUCGAACGGUGUCUUCGGACAUAGUGGCGCACGGGUGCGUAACACGUAUGCAACCUACCUUACAUUGGGGGAUAGCCUUUCGAAAGGGAGAUUAAUACCGCAUAAGACAGUAACUAGGCAUCUAGUAGCUGUUAAAGAUUUAUCGAUGUAAGCUGGGCAUGCGUCCAAUUAGCUGGUUGGUGAGGUAACGGCUCACCAAGGCAAUGAUUGGUAGGGGAACUGAGAGGUCAAUCCCCCACCCUGGCACUGAGAUACGGGCCAGACUCCUACGGGAGGCAGCAGUAGGGAAUAUUGGGCAAUGGACGCAAGUCUGACCCAGCCAUGCCGCGUGCAGGAUGAAGGCGUUAUGCGUUGUAAACUGCUUUUAUACAGGAAGAAACGACUCUUGCGAGAGGCAUUGACGGUACUGUAUGAAUAAGCACCGGCUAACUCCGUGCCAGCAGCCGCCGUAACAC
rnacentral:rRNA from 1 species